rnacentral:lncRNA from 1 species
AGUCCCUAUUCCCGCCCUGAAGGUGGCCAAAAGGCUGACUCCCUCCAAGCAGCCCGCCCGCGCCUCCAUCGCCCCCACCCACGUCCCACUCGCCAGCUGCGGACUGAACCCUCACCCUCAAGGGGGUGUAGGUAGGGAAAGAGUUUUGAGCAAGAUUGGGGGUAUCCCUUCAUCCGAAGAUUGUUUGGGAAAGGUUAGGAGCUCUAAAAUGUAUUGAAGCCAACUCUUAAGCGCAAAGUAAAAGAUAAUUUGCGUCCGUCUGCGAGGUAGGACUGAAGAUUCUAUAGAGUGGGCUUCCGAGGAGCAGGAGACACAGGGCGAGCAUGAGAACAUAGGUCUGGAAUGAGGUUCCACCGAGCGUCCGUAGUCUCCUUAGGCGACAUCUAUCGCUUCCUUUAGCACUUCGCAGGAGUCAACGCGGGGUUGGUUGCCCCCAACAGUGGAGCGUUUCCAUAAAGCCGAGCAGAUGAGCCUUCCCAGCCGCCUGCACUGCACCCUUCCCCGCCCCCAACUCCGUACUGGCACCCUGUGUGCCUGAAGGGCUGACACACGUUCUCCCAAAACCUUCAGAAGCGCUUUGCCUUGAAAGAGCUCUCCCUCGUGUGUGUGUGUGUGUGUGUGUGUGUGUGUGUGUGUGUGUGUGUGUGUGUGUGUUUAAACCAUCUCCAGGAUCCCUUAUCAUUUGCUUCCUCUCUCCUUUUUCUCUCUGUUUCUCCCUGUCUUUUUUCUGACGCUUAAGUUUCAGGAUCUUUUAGUUUUUUUCCAUCACAUACAUGUGUAGGUUUUCUGGUACAAACGCCCUGAAACAUCACUUGGGAGGUUAAGACAGGCCCGCGAGUAAAAGCUGGGGACGGAGUGGGUGGGCAGCCAGGUGCAUUACCAGCGCCUUUAUGCCUCUGCCUACACUUCCCGGCCUCCCCCCAUCCCCCCACCCCCCCACCCCACGCCUCACCGUCGCUCCCCGGCCCCACAACAUGAACUUGGAAGCAGAAUUUCAGGCCAAGAUGGAACCUCCCCGUCUCAGGAAGGCGAUUUCUGUUUAAUCCUUGGGAGGCUGCGCUGGCUGGGCCAGGCAGCACGCUCCUUUUCCGAUUAGGGAAAGGACUAAGCUGGGCCGGCAGUCUGCGACCCCUUCCCGGAACCCCAGCCGACUUCGGGGUAUACCUGAGCGCCUUCCGAUGGCUGCUCGCGGGGGUGUGAUCAUCGUCCCCGCAUCAGGCCCGCCAGGCAUCUGCGCGACUCGGGGGUAGGAGGGAGAUGCGUGGGUGGGAGGUGGGGGUCAAACCAAACACCGACAGGGCACACCUACGUUUAUGAUCCUUAAAUGAACUGCGAGGGAAAUUGUGUAAGUAUAAUUUAACUGAGAGAAAUUUAUUGCGAAAUACGCUUAGAGGACUGUGGUCUUUAACAGCCUCAGGGGUUCUUCGGCAAAGAGGUAACGGGGCUUGGAUUUACCACAACUCUGCGGCCACGUUUUCAAAUUUGGAAAAGGCGAUUUAUGCGAGAAAGGGCCAAUUUGAACACUGGUAACUAGUGGGAGAAAUAAACUUAUAAGCCACAAACACAUCGGUUCGCAACCGAGCCCACAGCCCCGCGAGGCGCCCCUUCUUCCCAGCUCCCGGAGGAUAACUUCAUUGACUGGCAGGUCGGCGGCCACUUCUGGGAGGGCCACUGUUUACCGAAUGAGAACCUCUCAUGGCACAGUCCUUACAGCAGGGCUGCCCUGUCGCCCUUGCGCGUCCGGGUGCCGGGUCCCGGCGGUGUUCUGCAGCGCGAUCCGGUCCCCGUGCCCUGAGCCACCCAGAGCCCUGGGCCUGCCUGCACCCUGGGGCGCGCUGACUCCCUGGGUCGGGUGGGGGUCCCGGCAGGAUGCACUUCCAGCUGCGGGGUCCGCGGAGUUUGCUCGCACCUGGUUUGGCGCAGGGACGUAGGUUUGGGGGACUGUGUCCCCUGGGAAGAGCAAAAGGUGAAAAGGUCCCCUCUCCCACCAGUGUGCCCCAUCCCCGCCAGUUUUGACUGCGAUCCUAUUUUUCUCUUUGGGGGUCGCCUCAGCCUGUGCCGGAGGGAGUUGGGAGUUGGUCAGGCUUGGGCAGCGGUGGGUGGCAGCCCGGGAGCCGGAGCAGGAGCGCGAGGACCCGCGGACUGGGGCGCAGCGACGAUGGCGCACCGGCUUCUGUCUUCUGCUGCUUUGGGGCUGAGCAUCCGAGGGCGCCUUUCUCCCCAGCUGGACUCGGGGACGCCGGAUCACCCCGCCACCUGCCUCUUGGCCUAAUUCUGGAAGCUUCUCGCCUCCGUUCCUGGACGGCUCUUCCUCAGGGGCAGCAAUGAGCCCCGGGGUGCGCUCAUCUCCUCCGAGAUCAAUUGCUCUACGAUUCCUUUUAGGACUUGCAGGGGGGAGAGGUUGGGGACCCCGGCCCCAGAGUGGCUCCUGCGGCACGGCGGCCCACUCGGAGGGGUCGCAACAAGCGCGCAUUUGUGGCCAAGGUUGUGAUUUCAGGUGCGCUAAUGGGAUCAGACGUCCUGGGAGAAGCGUGAGGGGAUUGGUGCCGUUCCUUCUCCCGGCUUCCAGCGGCCGCCGGGUGGAAGUGGGGACACAGGAGGGCCGCGCUACGGGCGCCCAGCGCGGGCGCUCACACCUCUUGAGGAGGCGUGGAACCCAGCGCCCCAGGUGGGGGUAGGGCGCGGGGGUAUAGGUAGUGAGGGGUGACGCUGGGAGAGGACCGGGAGACGGAGGAAAGGAGACAGCCGGGGACACUACUGAGAGAGGGAGUAAGAGAGUGCGCUGCAGAACCGGGGACAGAGCGGCAGAACCGACCGAGAGCUGGAAUUGGAUUGCGUCCUGUCCCAGCACCAGGACACAGAUAAACAGCCUCCCAGCACUGGUACUCGCCAGAGAAGGGGAAACCCGCGUCCCGCGCUGCUGCUUUCUGCUUCGGAGAACCUUAUCUAGACUUUUGCAUAAUUGCGUGUUGGCUUUCCUAAAUAAUUCGGAAGAGCGAUUUCUGCUUCCACUUGUUCACAUAGGCAAACAAUCCCUGUGGGGAAAAUGUGUGUGUGUGUGUGUGUGUGUGCGCGCGCGCGCGCGCGCGUUCCGGUGACAAUUGAGGCCAGAGGCAAACACAUCCUCUUUCAAAAUGUCCCUUAGGUGAUCCCGUAAAUGACUGUCCUGCUCUAGGCAGUGGGAGUCAUCAUCCACUGGGUAGGGGGCUGUGAUUACUCUGCCUAGGGACCACUUUUCACAGCUCCUUCCCCACCGUAGAUAAGGGUGUUAAAUCAAGGCAUUUAGUUCUACUUUUCCAUUGCACAGAUAAGCAAGCUGAGACCCAGAUAGGUUAAGUGAAGUAUCCAAUUUCUUCUCUCCUUUUCUUUUCUGUAUGCCUCAAGAUGGUUUUAUACACACACACACACACACACAUACAUACACACACACACACACCCUGAACUACGAAAAACAUCACAACUACGGAAGAAACAUUUUUUACUCUUCUUAUUUCCUAAGAAGACCAAAAGUCAGAGCUUGUCUUCUGUCAGAAGCAGAUGGGUGUGUGAUGGCAGUGUGUGAGUGUGCAAGUGUGGGGGGGCUGGGCGUUGGCGCCAUCCUUCCUCCUUCCCUGCUCCAUCCCUGACUCCAUCACCGAGCCCCUUCAGGGAAACACAAGGCAGGAGGUUGUACCGCUAUGCAGAAGACCCCUCCAGGUAGGGAGCUUGAAGAAAUGAAACAGCAGGGAGAACCUGUAUUUGGUGGUGAAAGUGCUGGAAUCUUCUAGGCCUUGCUCAUCUCCAACCAGCUACUUCUCCAAAAUAAAGCAAAACAAAACAAAACAAAACAAGGCAAACAACAACCACCACAGGCCUUUUGCAUCAACUUCCUGUGACUAAGUGACCCUAAGCAGAGAACUGGCUCAGGUCACUUAGGGCAGGGGUAGGACAUUGAAGGCCUUAUUUACUCCAGGAUUAAAAACAGCAUCCCCUCUAACCCUGUCUCUCUUGGGCAGCCUGUCUUUUAAGGAUGUGAAAAGCAGCUUCUUGGAGUCUAAACAGGCACAAUACCCCACUGGGAUGUUUAGGUAUCAGGUUCACAAAAACAGCAUUUUACUCCUGCUUCCCCGAACCCCUUUGCAACCCAGGCUACCAUACUCUUUGCAAGAAUAUCCGGUAUCUUUUCCGGGCAAAAUGAAUUGAGUUGGCACUUCCUGAAAUAUUUUUAUUUUUAGCUUCAAAUAAUUUUGCUCCUAAAACAAAUUAGUUACUUAUCCUCUUCUCACCAUGCCCUAAUUAUUUUUAGCUUUAUUCUAAUUUUUUUUGUUACCUUGAAUUUUGUCUUGAUUUGAGAGUUUGGUAUAGAAUACUUGUUUGCAGACUGGUAAUCUGCAGUUUAUUUUGUUUUUAAAAAACUCUGUGAAGUUUACUGUUGUUUUAAAACUCAUGGAAUAUUAACAAAAAAUAACCUAAUAAUAUUCUUCGAGGCUUAAACUUUGGUUAUAGUCUAUGUCCUAGCCUAGCUUUUAUGAUAAGCCUGUUGCAUUUUAAAGGUGCUUAUUGAUUCACAUGUCUUUCAGUAAAAAAUCUUUUGAGGAACCCAGACUUUUGAAAGCUAUUUAAUUUGCAUGUAUUUGGUCAUUACAGGCUAAAACUGAAGAAUGAGUUUGGAAAUUGGUUCUAUUAGAAAACACUGUUUGCACAUCCAAAUGUUCCCAGUCAAGAUUUCCCAAUAGUGGCAGUGAGAAAGAGAGGCAGAGAGAAUUAGGAUACUUGGGUUCAAAUUUUAGCUUAGUCACUGAUGGGCUGAUUGAGUGAGAAGAACUUAAUCACCUGCAAAAUGAAUUGCUUACAGUAUUUUGAUCUCUAAAUACACUUUUGAUUCUGAUAUUUAAUGAUUUUGUAUUACAAAAUUGGGCAGAAAACGCAUAGCUUCAUAACAAGCAAAAAAUUUUACUGUUAACACAUCAUACUUAUUUUAGAGUAAAUUUGAAGGAGGUUGAUGUUUUGGAAUUUGGUUGGAGAGUUAUCCAAAAGCAAUGUUUCCCUGACUCAACUACAACCAAUUACACACAGUGGCCAGUAGGAAAAGGAUUAAGUUGUCCAGACAAAAUAUAAUGGUAACAAAAAAUAAUCUUGUGCUUUUGACAUCUUUCUGUUUACUUGUUUUUGUCUUGUUCUAAUGCCCCCUGAAUUACUAUUUUCUAAAAAACAGUCUCAUCUAAAAUAAAACAUAGUAAUGUGUUUUCAAAUGAGACAUUUUAUUGUAGUUACGAUUUCUUUUGUAUAUUUUCCUAAUGCAGACUACAAUAAAUACACUAAAAUAUUUCAAAUGGUUUGCUUGUGUAUAUGCUCUUAAGUCGUCUUUAUCCCACUUUGGGAAGCAUAUGCUGUGUUCUGAACAGUUUUAACUUUAUAUAUCAGCAUGACUAAGUCCUUUCAACAACUAUCACGCAAAGACCACGGAGAGCAGAACUAUUCAGGAUAUCAAGAAAUGAACACUAAUGAAUAGGAAACAAUGAACCCUAAUUUUAGGAAGAAAUUAGUUUUGCAAUUCAGCAUUGUCAUUUAAAGUGGAAUUGUGUCUCGUAAAACUUCUGUAACUGCCAUACUUGUU